AUUGAACGCUGGCGGCACGCUUAACACAUGCAAGUCGAACGGUAACAGGAUCUGUAGCAAUACGGAUUGCUGACGAGUGGCGGACGGGUGAGUAACACGUAGGAACUUGCCCUUCAGAGGGGGACAACCAAGGGAAACUUUGGCUAAUACCGCAUAAACUCGAAAGAGUAAAGGUGCCCUGCAAGGGGUGUCACUGAAGGAGAGGCCUGCGUCCGAUUAGCUAGUUGGAGAGGUAAGAGCUCACCAAGGCGAUGAUCGGUAACUGGUCUGAGAGGACGACCAGUCACACUGGGACUGAGACACGGCCCAGACUCCUACGGGAGGCAGCAGUGGGGAAUCUUGGACAAUGGGGGCAACCCUGAUCCAGCGAUGCCGCGUGAGUGAAGAAGGCCUUCGGGUCGUAAAGCUCUUUAGGUUGGGAAGAAGUGUGCGUGGUGAUAAGCCAUGAACAUUGACGGUACUAACAGAAUAAGCACCGGCAAACUCUGUGCCAGCCGCCGCCGUAA
rnacentral:rRNA from 1 species